rnacentral:lncRNA from 1 species
UGCAAAGGAAGCAAAUCCAAAGAUUAAGCAACUAGAUAGGGUUCUCCCUUCUCUAACAUUUUAUAUAUUGCAUACCAAGCACUUUAAGGAUGUCCCUUAUAGGUCAAGAUUCCUGGUGAAUCAGAGAUAGAUUUUAUCAAGGCAUGUUACAGGAACUUGUAAGAGAGAAACAUGUUCAGGCUGCAGUUCGUUUUGGCUCGAAUCCUCUAGUGAUUAUGCCUUCCAAUUAUGUUAGGACAUCACAAAAUGGCUUAAAAGCCUUGCAAACUACGUCAUCAGGUUUAUGCGUAGAUAAAUACGAGAAUAGUUUCUACAUUGCUUACCUUCAAGGAACCAGCAGAUACAUUUGCCUCAGCAUCAAUGAAGGUCUGC